rnacentral:lncRNA from 1 species
CGCUACUUCCUGCACCACGUUUUUCUCUUCCUGCACUCCUAAUUCAAAAAACAUGUCUGUCUUACCCUUGAGUAGAAACUCUAAUUCUAACUUCCCUUCCCAUUUACCCUUGUGCCGCAACUCUCCCUCUCGAUCCACCUUCCUCCCUCUACGUCUUGCACUUCCCUCCAUAAAAUUUCAUUUCUCAUGGCUCAAAUGAAGGAUCGCUUGGAUACCUUUAUGCACCGGCUACGGCUACGGUUACCCCUAGCAUUGCAGUGUCUAUUGGAAGAACUUUGUUGCCUGUUGCUAGAGCUGGAACUGCAACAAAUGUUGAAGUCUGUCCAGUACCUUCUCCGUUGUCUAAUUCAUCGUCAAGUCCUCAGAACUGGUCACCUUCAGUUGGAUUGGACUACCGUGCUUGUGUUUGGUGCUUUCUCCCCAAGGUCUCUUGGGUUUUGAGAGAUCAAAUCUGAGGAGGGCUAGUUCUGGAGGAAGGUGCUUUUACAUGUUUUUUCAUUUGUUGUGGUUGGUGUUUUUGUUGGACUCAUCCCACUUGCAUCAAUGCACAUGUCAACAAGCGACGAAGUGUGUAUUCGAAAAACUUUAAAUAGAUGUCAUUGUCAUGGUGGACACAUACUAUUGGUUAGCACAUCUUAUUGGUUUUCCAUCUUAUUGGUCGGAAAUAACUAGACAUUUUAUUGGUUCAACAUCUUCAAAUUAAACUUUAAAUACUAGGUCGGAAAGGAGUGUUCCAUCUUAUUGGUUUUCUGAAAAUGAUUAACGUGCAGGAAAUAAAGCUUUGUAACGAGAUCAGAAUACUUCCGUCACACUAUCUCAACAUGCAGCAGACCAUGUCCUUAGAAAUUUCGAAGGGAAGUGUGACCAAGAAAUCUGACGCACAUAAACUCUUUAAGGUAGAGCAGAG